AACGAACGCUGGCGGCAGGCCUAACACAUGCAAGUCGAACGCUCGUAGCAAUACGAGAGUGGCAGACGGGUGAGUAACACGUGGGAACCUUCCCUAUGGUUCGGAAUAGCCCAGGGAAACUUGGGGUAAUACCGGAUAAGCCCUUCGGGGAAGAUUUAUCGCCAUUGGAUGGGCCCGCGUCGGAUUAGCUAGUUGGUGGGGUAACGGCCUACCAAGGCGACGAUCCGUAGCUGGUCUGAGAGGAUGAUCAGCCACACUGGGACUGAGACACGGCCCAGACUCCUACGGGGAGGCAGCAGUGGGGGAAUAUUGGACAAUGGGCGCAAGCCUGAUCCAGCCAUGCCGCGUGAGUGACGAAGGUCUUCGGAUUGUAAAACUACUUUUGGUCGGGGACGAUAAUGACGGUACCCGCAGAAUAAGCCCCGGCUAACUUCGUGCCAGCAGCCGCCGU
rnacentral:rRNA from 1 species